rnacentral:rRNA from 1 species
CCUACGGGGUGCUGCAGUGGGGAAUAUUGGACAAUGGGCGAAAGCCUGAUCCAGCCAUGCCGCGUGUGUGAAGAAGGCCUUCGGGUUGUAAAGCACUUUCAGUGGGGAAGAAAGCCUUGGGGCUAAUACCCUCGAGGAAGGACAUCACCCACAGAAGAAGCACCGGCUAACUCCGUGCCAGCAGCCGCGGUAAUACGGAGGGUGCGAGCGUUAAUCGGAAUUACUGGGCGUAAAGCGCGCGUAGGCGGUCUGAUAAGCCGGUUGUGAAAGCCCCGGGCUCAACCUGGGAACGGCAUCCGGAACUGUCAGGCUAGAGUGCAGGAGAGGAAGGUAGAAUUCCCGGUGUAGCGGUGAAAUGCGUAGAGAUCCGGAGGAAUACCAGUGGCGAAGGCGGCCUUCUGGACUGACACUGACGCUGAGGUGCGAAAGCGUGGGUAGCAAACAGGAUUAGAUACCCAAGUAUC